CCUACGGGAGGUAGCAGUGAGGAAUAUUGGUCAAUGGCCGCAAGCCUGAACCAGCCAAGUAGCGUGAAGGAUGACUGCGCUACGGAUUGUAAACUUCUUUUGUAAAGGAAUAAAGUCAGGCACGUGUGCCUUUUUGUAUGUACUUUAUGAAUAAGAACGGCUAACUCCGGUCCAGCAGCCUCGGUAAUUCGGGGGGUCCGGACGUUAUCCGGGUUUAUUGGGGUUAAAGGGAGCGGAGAGGGGUUGUUAAGUCAGGUGUGAAAAGUUGCGGGUCAAACGUAAAAUUGCAAUUGAUACUGGCAGUCUUGAGAAGAGGUGAGGUAGGCGGAAUUCGUGGUGUAGCGGUGAAAUGCUUAGAUAUUACGAAGAACUCCGAUUGCGAAGGCAGCUUACUAA
rnacentral:rRNA from 1 species